rnacentral:rRNA from 1 species
UACGAAGGGUGCAAGCGUUGCUCGGAAUUAUUGGGCGUAAAGGGUAGGUAGGUGGUUACGUAUGUCUGGGGUGAAAUCCCUGAGCUUAACUCAGGAAGUGCCUUGGAAACGGCGUAACUAGAGUACUAGAGAGGUUCGUGGAAUUCCCGGUGUAGCGGUGAAAUGCGUAGAGAUCGGGAGGAACAUCAGAGGCGAAGGCG